rnacentral:lncRNA from 1 species
GGCGUCUGCUCCCCGCGCUGCUGCCCCCGGACGCCGGGGCUUUCCUCUGGCCCGGACUCUAAGCCCCGCGCACCCUCUCUCAGCCCGCGUCUGUCUCUCCGGGCCUCUCCCGCCGCCUCUGCCAUCACGGUUGCUCCCUCCUCCGUCCUUGCCCCGGCCUCCGUCCUCACAUCCCGGGCACUCUUCCGUUGUCCCUGUGUGCCCUUCUCCGCCCCUGCCCCUGUCGGGGAUCUCUUCUUCCACCUCCCUAGGUUUCCUCUCAGGCUUUUCUCUUUUCCACCGCUUCAUCUUCUGCCUUUCCAGUCUCCACAUUGUUCUCUUCUUUUUUCUUCUCGGAAGACCAGAUGCCAUUUGGGGUGGAGAGUACGGAGUCCUGGUGAUAGGGGAUCGUGGUCCCACACGCGAGAACAGAGGUGCCCAACAUCUGGAAAUCAGAGUCCCAGCGCUGCUGAACAUCUGGAGCGCUAAUCGCAGGAGCCGAGAGCGGCCCCGGAGUCUGCACCACAGGCUGGGAAUCCGCCUCAGCGGAAUACUGAGAGCCGCCCCGCGCCGCCAGUGCCCCUGCGUGUCCUCCCAUCAGCGGAGCCCUAGGUCCGCUAGGAAAGGUUAAUGGCCCUGCGCCCCACUCCCACCUCCACUGCGGGCCUGGAGCGUGCAGGUGAGGGGGAUAUGGUUAAACGACGACCAGGGGAGGGGAGUGGAAGAAGGACC